AGCUAGAAUGUGAUGGAUAGUUUGCUUGUUAUAUACGAUUCGUAUUAGUUAAAACAACUUGAUGUGUAGAAUGGAGAUGGAUAGUUUAUUUGCUAGAAUGUGAAGUAGAAAAUGGAGAGGAUUUUGAGCUAGAAUGUGAGGGAGAUUGAUGUGUCAUAUAUAGUAUGUAUCCUUGCAGUGGUUUAAGAAUGAUGCUACCCUUGUCUAGACGGUUUAUCUUGUCAAAUU
rnacentral:lncRNA from 1 species